rnacentral:lncRNA from 1 species
UCAGAUAUCAUUUUACAGUGAUGCCCAAGUAAGAAGUAGUUUAUUUUCAAACGACUAUGCUAGUUCCAAGCGUUGAUGGACGCUUGGGCCAAUCCAUUUGGGACUCAUAUUUAGCACCUCUGCUUCUUACUCUAUCCAUGAUAUAAAGAUUUAUGUAUUUCCCAAUCAGUAAUCUCAUGGGCCUCUCUUUUUGUACUUCCCUCAGGUUCACUCAGAAUGAUGACAGUCCAUUUCUUUGAGACGCUCCUAAAGCCCUGGGGCUGCUGGUCAUCAUGGCUGCCUCAUUGUGCUCAGCAACUACAGGCAGAGUCCACUCCAUAUGAUCACUUUUUCAGCCUUCAUCUUCACUAUCUGCCUAUAUGGCUCCUGCCAUUCAAAGUCAUUAUGCAGGUAACUUGCAGUUUCCAUUUGUACAAAAUUUCCCUUGACCAAUAAAUACGAAAAAAAAAAAAAUGACAGUAUUUUGGUCAAAGUAGCUGAAUAUCAGUCCUCAGUUUAGAUUGGAGAUUUGUACUAAUCAGAGCAAAAAUUUAAACCAGAGAAUCCAAUUUCCUGGAAAACUGUUACAGCUCCACUUUUCUAGGACUCUGAGGUGAAUUUUUUUAGAGGAGUUCAUCUCUUUCUGUAAGAAUAGUGGUUCCAAUUAUAGUCUGACAGAGUUGGACAAACCUUGGUCAAAACCUCAACUCAAUCACAGACAAACCAAGUCACUGAGCAAGUUAUCACUAUCAAAUGGAAAUAUUAACUGGGGGCGGUGGCUCAUGCCUGUAAUCUCAGCACUUUGGGAGGUCGAGGCGGGCGGAUCACCUGAGGUCGGGAGUUUGAGACCAGCCUGACCAACAUGCUGAAACCCUGUCCCUACAGAAAAUACAAAAUUAGCCAGGGGUGGUGGUGCAUGCCUGUAAUCCCAGCUACUUGGGAGGCUGAGGCAGGAGAAUCACUUGAACCUGGGAGGCCGAUGUCACGGUGAGCCCAAAUUGCGCCAUUGCACUCCAGCCUGGGCAACAAGAACAAAACUCCGUCUCAAAAAAAAAAAAAAAAAAAAAAAAAGGAAAUAUUAGCAGAUUAGCAGUACUUUCUUGUGGGUUUAUUGUAUUAAAUUAGUAAAGCACUUUUGGAGAUGCAUGGCACAUAAGAGCUUAGUUAAUGACAACUAUUAUUAAGUGUCCUGAACAAAUCCUUUUUCCUUUAUAUUCACCAUCUCUUUGUUAUCAUAUUUAUUUAAAAUCAAAAAGUAUUAAACUAAUACCUAUUAGUUUUGCUUCUCGGGGCUUGGGAAAACUAUUUAAUCCUUUUUAAAUGCUCCAGAAGUUUGCAUGUUGCUGAGCUGUGAUAUGGAAAGCAAUACGUAUUUGAAGCUCAUUAUUCAUGCACUGCUAAAAGAAAACGGAAGCAGUCAGUGCCAGAGAUAUGUUGACACAGUGUUGGGUUGUUUAUUUUUCAUUAAGGAUGGAACAGAAUGGAGCACAUACUUUUGAGACUAGACCAUAGAACCGAAUAUCUGAAAACUCUGUUAAAACUUCCUUCUGGAUACUUACAACCAUUUGAGAAUUGUUGCAAAGAUUUUAGAACUUAAACAAAUCUACAAAGCAUCUCCUUGAACUUCCCGGAAGCUGUGAUGCUCAUGAACUUCAGAAUUUACUUUCAUCAUAAAGUUCAUUUCUAAAUACCCCUUCCCCCCAUUUUUGUUCUGUUUUCUUUUCCUUUAUCCCUUCUAAUUCCACAGAUUUGUCAGAUACCUUAUUUCUGCAGUGUAAAAGAAUGUAUUUGUAGGUGGAUUUGUUCUAACUAGUAGAGAUUAUACAGUAGAUCAAAUCUGUUCUGCAAAGGCUCCCUUAUAUAAAACAGAGCAUUUUGUUUUGCAUUUCUCUUACUUUGCUUUUCUUUGCCUCUCCUUUUCCCAUUUACUGAUUUCUUUACCAAUCUGUUUUCCUGUAUAUUUCUCUUCAGUUUCUAUAUUUUCUUUGUAAUAAUUUUAUAUUCCUUUUCUCUUUAAUUCUAUUUCUUUUAACACAUGCAUUCUUAUUAUCUGGCAUUUUCAAUAUCCUUGACAUUUUCUGUAUUCUCCCUAUCAAUUUUUUAACUCUCUGUCUAAUUUUAUGUUUCCUAUUAAUUACCACAUAAAAAGAGGACAAAAUAAUUCAUGUUUUUGAGAUUUUGUCACACACCAGCCGCUCAGAUGAGCUCUUUUCUUUGUAGAAGAUGGUAUAAUUCCUAUUUUUCAAAUGAGGAGACUCAGUGAGAUUAUAGAGCACGACUGAAGGGGGGUUAUGAAGCAGCUAGAUAAUGUUGUAGAAGUUUCAGCUGGAUAAACGGGUUUCCAGAACUCACUAGUUCUGAAAAAUAAUGAGAGAUAGAAAUAGAA